rnacentral:tRNA from 1 species
GGGGUUGUGGCUCAAUUGGUAGAGCGCUUGCCUCGCACGCAUGAAGCCUGGGUUCGAUUCUCAGUAUCACGU